UCGUCCUCUCACGUGCCGCGCACGUGGAUCAUCCCAUCUUUUUCGCGCGAUGCGCUUCGUGUGUCCAUUUUCUUUCUCGGCUUAGGGUUAGCCGCAUAAAACACAAGAAUCUCUCGGCCGCUUCUUUCUUCCGCCGUCUCUUCUCCAGAUCUUUCCACCGUCUUCGUUUCUCUCUCUCUGUUCCUUUAAUCAUCCUUUUCUUCCACAUUUUUUUCGUGCAUUCUUGUUCUCGUCAGAUCUUACCGUCUCUUCUUGUCAGAUCUUGCAUUUUUUUUUUGAAAAUAGACAACGAGUACACUAUCUGUUCUUGUCGGAUCUUUUUUUUUUUUGCUUUUUUUCCCUUUUCUGAUUGCUACUACUAUUUUGUUGUUUAUGAGGAUUAUGUUAUUCUUUUUAAUUUUUAGAUUUUUUAUUUCUGUAGCUUGGAUGAGCCCGUGAGGUGGGGUUUCAAAGAUUUCCACUUUAUUGAUGCAAGAAUUGGAUGUUGGGUACUAGCACUUGAAGAUAUAUGCUUUAGAUUGAUCCUUUUACGUGCGAGGUCUGAUAGGAGUUUCUUCCGUCAGGUAAUUUUUUUGUUCUUGUUUUUCUUGCAAAUUCUAUUUGUCUCUGUCUUUCAGUUUUGCUAUAUUUGUCAUUCUUUAUUGACUUCCUUUUAUUUUGUUUUCUUUUCUGGGUGCUGAGCUGUGUGUUAGGUUGAGCAAUGUAUAAAUGAGGAGAAAGCAAGAGCUUGUCAUUUUCUCUGCUCACCUUCAAUUGAGAAGAUGUUGUGGUAAUGCCUACAGUUAUAGAAAUAAUAGUAGAUAUACCUGAGGAUUCACAAGUGACACUUACAGGGAAUAUCGACGAACAAGAUUUUGGAUGCGAGAAAGCUUUUAGCGGUCCAUGUUCAGACAUGCCAUCUAACCAAUUACUCCAUGUCUCACGUGAACGUUGAAUUGAGUGAUCGUGUCGCUGGGCGGCUAAGAGGAAAGAAUCUGUUGUCCUGCCUGUGUGACACAUUCAUGUUUUCUGAUUAGGAAUGCAGCUCAAUGUUAAAUUGAUUAUUGUAAUCUUUUAU